UGAACGCUGGCGGCGUGCUUAACACAUGCAAGUCGAACGAACCUUCGGGUUAGUGGCGGACGGGUGAGUAACGCGUGAGAAUCUGCCCUCAGGAGGGGGAUAACGGUUGGAAACGACCGCUAAUACCCCAUAUGCCUAUUGGUGAAACGAAUUUCGCCUGAGGAUGAGCUCGCGUCUGAUUAGCUAGUUGGAGAGGUAAUGGCUCACCAAGGCUUCGAUCAGUAGCUGGUCUGAGAGGAUGAUCAGCCACACUGGGACUGAGACACGGCCCAGACUCCUACGGGAGGCAGCAGUGGGGAAUUUUCCGCAAUGGGCGAAAGCCUGACGGAGCAACGCCGCGUGAGGGACGAAGGCCUCUGGGCUGUAAACCUCUUUUCUCAAGGAAGAAGAUAUGACGGUACUGAGGAAUAAGCCACGGC
rnacentral:rRNA from 1 species